rnacentral:tRNA from 1 species
UGCAGGGUAGAGCAGUCUGGUAGCUCGUUAGGCUCAUAACCUAAAGGUCCUGGGUUCAAAUCCCAGCCCUGCGU